GGUUAAGCGACUAAGCGUACACGGUGGAUGCCCUGGCAGUCAGAGGCGAUGAAGGGCGUGCUAAUCUGCGAUAAGCGCCGGUAAGGUGAUAUGAACCGUUAUAACCGGCGAUACCCGAAUGGGGAAACCCAGUGUGACUCGUCACACUAUCAUUAACUGAAUCCAUAGGUUAAUGAGGCGAACCGGGGGAACUGAAACAUCUAAGUACCCCGAGGAAAAGAAAUCAACCGAGAUUCCCCCAGUAGCGGCGAGCGAACGGGGAGGAGCCCAGAGCCUGAAUCAGCAUGUGUGUUAGUGGAAGCGUCUGGAAAGGCGCGCGAUACAGGGUGACAGCCCCGUACACAAAAGCGCAUGUGCUGUGAGCUCGAUGAGUAGGGCGGGACACGUGGUAUCCUGUCUGAAUAUGGGGGGACCAUCCUCCAAGGCUAAAUACUCCUGACUGACCGAUAGUGAACCAGUACCGUGAGGGAAAGGCGAAAAGAACCCCGGCGAGGGGAGUGAAAAAGAACCUGAAACCGUGUACGUACAAGCAGUGGGAGCCCCACCACUAAGCCAGUGGUGAACUCCACAUACGCAUCCUUUGCUGAGGAUACGGUUAACGGAGCGAAAGCGACGUUCAACCUCAAAAGAAGCAGAGGGGGCUUAGUGGUGGGGUGACUGCGUACCUUUUGUAUAAUGGGUCAGCGACUUAUAUUCUGUAGCAAGGUUAACCGCAUAGGGGAGCCGGAGGGAAACCGAGUCUUAAUUGGGCGUUAAGUUGCAGGGUAUAGACCCGAAACCCGGUGAUCUAGCCAUGGGCAGGUUGAAGGUUGGGUAACACUAACUGGAGGACCGAACCGACUAAUGUUGAAAAAUUAGCGGAUGACCUGUGGCUGGGGGUGAAAGGCCAAUCAAACCGGGAGAUAGCUGGUUCUCCCCGAAAGCUAUUUAGGUAGCGCCUCGUGAAUUCAUCUCCGGGGGUAGAGCACUGUUUCGGCUAGGGGGCCAUCCCGGCUUACCAACCCGAUGCAAACUGCGAAUACCGGAGAAUGUUAUCACGGGAGACACACGGCGGGUGCUAACGUCCGUCGUGAAGAGGGAAACAACCCAGACCGCCAGCUAAGGUCCCAAAGUCAUGGUUAAGUGGGAAACGAUGUGGGAAGGCCCAGACAGCCAGGAUGUUGGCUUAGAAGCAGCCAUCAUUUAAAGAAAGCGUAAUAGCUCACUGGUCGAGUCGGCCUGCGCGGAAGAUGUAACGGGGCUAAACCAUGCACCGAAGCUGCGGCAGCGACGCUGAUGCGUUGUUGGGUAGGGGAGCGUUCUGUAAGCCUGUGAAGGUGUGCUGUGAGGCAUGCUGGAGGUAUCAGAAGUGCGAAUGCUGACAUAAGUAACGAUAAAGCGGGUGAAAAGCCCGCUCGCCGGAAGACCAAGGGUUCCUGUCCAACGUUAAUCGGGGCAGGGUGAGUCGACCCCUAAGGCGAGGCCGAAAGGCGUAGUCGAUGGGAAACAGGUUAAUAUUCCUGUACUUGGUGUUACUGCGAAGGGGGGACGGAGAAGGCUAUGUUGGCCGGGCGACGGUUGUCCCGGUUUAAGCGUGUAGGCUGGUUUUCCAGGCAAAUCCGGAAAAUCAAGGCUGAGGCGUGAUGACGAGGCACUACGGUGCUGAAGCAACAAAUGCCCUGCUUCCAGGAAAAGCCUCUAAGCAUCAGGUAACAUCAAAUCGUACCCCAAACCGACACAGGUGGUCAGGUAGAGAAUACCAAGGCGCUUGAGAGAACUCGGGUGAAGGAACUAGGCAAAAUGGUGCCGUAACUUCGGGAGAAGGCACGCUGACACGUAGGUGAAGUGAUUUACUCAUGGAGCUGAAGUCAGUCGAAGAUACCAGCUGGCUGCAACUGUUUAUUAAAAACACAGCACUGUGCAAACACGAAAGUGGACGUAUACGGUGUGACGCCUGCCCGGUGCCGGAAGGUUAAUUGAUGGGGUCAGCGCAAGCGAAGCUCCUGAUCGAAGCCCCGGUAAACGGCGGCCGUAACUAUAACGGUCCUAAGGUAGCGAAAUUCCUUGUCGGGUAAGUUCCGACCUGCACGAAUGGCGUAAUGAUGGCCAGGCUGUCUCCACCCGAGACUCAGUGAAAUUGAACUCGCUGUGAAGAUGCAGUGUACCCGCGGCAAGACGGAAAGACCCCGUGAACCUUUACUAUAGCUUGACACUGAACAUUGAGCCUUGAUGUGUAGGAUAGGUGGGAGGCUUUGAAGUGUGGACGCCAGUCUGCAUGGAGCCGACCUUGAAAUACCACCCUUUAAUGUUUGAUGUUCUAACGUGGACCCGUAAUCCGGGUUGCGGACAGUGUCUGGUGGGUAGUUUGACUGGGGCGGUCUCCUCCUAAAGAGUAACGGAGGAGCACGAAGGUUGGCUAAUCCUGGUCGGACAUCAGGAGGUUAGUGCAAUGGCAUAAGCCAGCUUGACUGCGAGCGUGACGGCGCGAGCAGGUGCGAAAGCAGGUCAUAGUGAUCCGGUGGUUCUGAAUGGAAGGGCCAUCGCUCAACGGAUAAAAGGUACUCCGGGGAUAACAGGCUGAUACCGCCCAAGAGUUCAUAUCGACGGCGGUGUUUGGCACCUCGAUGUCGGCUCAUCACAUCCUGGGGCUGAAGUGGUCCCAAGGGUAUGGCUGUUCGCCAUUUAAAGUGGUACGCGAGCUGGGUUUAGAACGUCGUGAGACAGUUCGGUCCCUAUCUGCCGUGGGCGCUGGAGAACUGAGGGGGGCUGCUCCUAGUACGAGAGGACCGGAGUGGACGCAUCACUGGUGUUCGGGUUGUCAUGCCAAUGGCACUGCCCGGUAGCUAAAUGCGGAAGAGAUAAGUGCUGAAAGCAUCUAAGCACGAAACUUGCCCCGAGAUGAGUUCUCCCUGAGACUUAGAGUCUCCUGAAGGAACGUUGAAGACGACGACGUUGAUAGGCCGGGUGUGUAAGCGCAGCGAUGCGUUGAGCUAACCGGUACUAAUGAACCGUGAGGCUUAACCUU
rnacentral:rRNA from 1 species